rnacentral:rRNA from 1 species
AUUGAACGCUGGCGGCAGGCCUAACACAUGCAAGUCGAACGAGUGGCGGACGGGUGAGUAAUGUCUGGGAAACUGCCUGAUGGAGGGGGAUAACUACUGGAAACGGUAGCUAAUACCGCAUACCAUCGGAUGUGCCCAGAUGGGAUUAGCAAGUAGGUGGGGUAACGGCUCACCUAGGCGACGAUCCCUAGUUGGUCUGAGAGGAUGACCGGCCAAACUGGAAUGGAGACCGGGUCCAGAUUCCUAGGGGGGGCAGAAGUGGGGAAUAUUGCACAAGGGGCGAAAGCCUGAUGCAGCAAUGCCGAGUGGAUGAAGAAGGCCUUCGGGUUGUAAAGUACUUUCAUCGGGGAGGCGUUACCCGAAGAAGAAGCACCGGCUAACUCCGUGCCAGCAGCCGCGGUAAUAC